UAUUCAGGAAGCAAUGAGUCUGCUGCUUGCCUGAAAAGCUCAGAUCUAUUCUGAGCAUACAAAGUGUUUGAAUGCCAUACAGCCAGCCCCCCCCCCCAGAGAGCUGGAUUUCACUGAGCUGCCAGUAGCCAUUGCAGCUGUUGUCAUGGACCAUUUUUCCAAACAUCUCAGCAUCAUCUGGACAGCACAGAAGAUAUCUCACCUCCUUUGCCGCUCAAUAGACCAGGGAGCCACUGGGCCUAUUUGGCUGAGCCCUGCUCUUGGAGAAAGAGGCAACUUCCAUUUUGCUGCUUUUGGGUCUGAUUUUUGAGUCCCAACUGGAAAAUCACAACUGUAUCACCAGGCUUGGCAAGAUACUGAAGCUUUACUGGAAACUCCACUGAAGCCAACUUUAAGUUCUCCAUCUCCUGAAUGUACCACUGCAAAUACUGCAGCUGCUGAAGCAGGCAGAACAGAGCUACAGCUCCCUGUCUGUCUCCUGGCUCUGCAUCUCUGCAUGAGCUGAAAUUAGCUAUGGGGUAUUGAACAUUGAAGUAGAAGAGGGAGAUGGAAAACUAGAAGAGCAGCUGCUUGAAAAUUGCACCAAAGGCCUCUUCCCAAAGAGAAAUAUGCAGGACUUCUUUGGUUUAAGGUCACUCAUCAGCAAGACCCCCAGCUGGGAUGAAGAAACGAGAGGCCAAGGCUUCUGGCAUCCUGCUGCAAUGUGACAUAAAGAGGAGAUGCCACAAGCAGGAAAUCCUCGUCUCAGAGGAAGGAGCUGGUUUUACUGAGGCAGGUGCCCCUAGGAGCUUGAAGGGCUACUGGAAGCAAGCGAAGGCUACCCUGCCUCAAGGAGAUGAAGCUCAUGGUGAAAUGUGAUGUUCUAUGGUCUGGAAGCAGUCAGUAAGAGCUUCACCUCCUCUAUCAGCACUUUGGAGACACGGCUGAAGGAUUGGACAAUACCUAUCCGGGAGGUAACAUCUCCAGUGGAAAAGAGGACAGGGCUUUAAAACACCUACAGCUGGCUUCCACACCCCCCUGACCUGCGUUUCAGGUCGGCACCACCAAGAUGCCUGUGUGCCUUGGCUGAUGAGGAUAACUACACGCAAGGCAAGCUAUCUGAACCUGACAGCAAAGACCACGUUUCCCCUUAAUGCACCGUGCUGUGGGAAGUGUUUACUGCUGCUGCUCUUACAGAGCAGAAAACCAGAGGUAAGUCGAUGACUCCACCACCUCCCUGCGACAGAGGGACAAAAGGAGAAGGAUGGACAAAUGCCUACCCAACACCUGCGCUCCAGAAGGCAGCUCAGGAAGAGGAUGGAAAAUAGGACAAACCUUGUGCAAGAACACCUGUAUUAGGAUUGAGUUUGCAAGUAAAGUAAAAUAGCAAAC
rnacentral:lncRNA from 7 species